CAAUAGCGUAUAUUAUUGAUGUUGCAGUUGAAACGUUCGUAGUCGAACUUUAUCUGCUCAAGUAUUGUGCCAUCGACGAUGGUGCAUUACUCUCAGCAGAGAUUGUGCAAAGGUAUGUGUUUCACAUGUAUCUUUUGCAUCUUACUUUGAGUGAAUCGGCGUGUUCCACGCAGGCAUGUGCCUUGAACGAUUUACCAUAGCAUAAUUAGAGUAUGAGGGUGUUUCCUUGCUAGUUCGGAAACAUUUUCGAUACCGAAAAGAACGGUUGAGGGCAUUCGUAUUCAACUGCUAGAGGUGAAAUUUUUUGAUUAGUUGAGGACGAACCAUUGCGAAAGCAUCUGCCAAGGACGUUUCUUUUGA
rnacentral:rRNA from 1 species